AAAGGAACCAUUCUGGAGUAGUCCUAAUUAUCGGCAACACUUCAUUUUAAGGGAUCAUGUAAUUACACUGUAGCAGGUAUUACAAUGAAUUGUAAUAAUUCAGUUACACUGUAAUAACAACAUGUAAUUAAUUGGUGGUAGUCUGUAAUUACAGGGAUGUAACAACGGAAUGCUUGUUACCAUGCUUGUUACAAAUGUUAAAGUUUCCCGAAAGCAUCUCAAUACCCGAAUUUCAGCCUUCCGAAGUGGAACAGUCUCCCUUUUGGAAGCAUCAUGUCAAGAUCUGCCCAUCUGCACAACACGCUCAAAAUAACGACAACCUACAACGUGCCCACGUGUUGACACUGACAUUAUGUUACAGUGUGAAAGAAUGGGGUCGAGAAGAAGGUCAGUGUGCAGAAUUAAGACAUGAAAGAUUGCAGCGAAAGAAACAAUGUUGUAGGUGAAAAAUGUAAACACAGGAGAGAGAAAGUUUUCUCCAGUGUGCCAGUGGC
rnacentral:lncRNA from 1 species